UACGAAGGGGGCUAGCGUUGUUCGGAAUUACUGGGCGUAAAGCGCACGUAGGCGGAUAUUUAAGUCAGGGGUGAAAUCCCGGGGCUCAACCCCGGAACUGCCUUUGAUACUGGGUAUCUCGAGUCCGAGAGAGGUGAGUGGAAUUCCGAGUGUAGAGGUGAAAUUCGUAGAUAUUCGGAGGAACACCAGUGGCGAAGGCGGCUCACUGGCUCGGUACUGACGCUGAGGUGCGAAAGCGUGGGGAGCAAACAGGG
rnacentral:rRNA from 1 species